GCGGCUCCGGGGGCGCCGGGAGCGGCCCCGCGGGCACCGGGCCGGGCCCUCGGCGCGGCGGGAGCGGCCCUGGGGGCACCGGGAGCGGCGAGCGGGGCAGGCGGCCCACGGCGAGCAUGUGCUGGGAGCCGCUCGUCGAGCGAGCGGCGCUGCCCCAGGAGCGUUGCGCCCCCUCAUAAAGCGCCCCAUUGUGCUGCCCUGCGUCAGUGUGGCCGCGCCCGGGCAGCGGCGGUACCAACCCCGGCCCCAUCGCCGGGAGACAGCCGCUGUUCCUGCGGAACGCUCCGAGCGGGUGGAAGUUCCAGAAGGACGGGAGCCCAAGGGUUGCCGUGGAUUUUAUAUCCGUGCAAAGCUCUCCGACGUGGUCUUGGCAGAGGGGGGGGUUUCGUCUGGUUGCACGUGUGACGGUGGUUUUCCUCCCCCGUUUUUUGCAAAAUGGGCACAAACCGAGGAAGAACGUGGCUGGUGCCAGGCCCAGGCCAGCGGCUGCUGAGGUCAGUGGCAGUCUCUGUCCCUGCCCCCGGGUGGCUUGGAGCCCGGCCUAAAAAUACCGAGGGAUGCAGCAAAACAAGUAAUUUCGUAUCAAAGUGCUAUCAUGUGCUCACAGAAAUAGAAGGAAAAUAGAGACGUUUCCUCCCCCACCCCUUGCAAUCCUUUGGAAUUACAGUGAUCGGAGCUGUCGCUUGGAAAGCCUGACUUCACCAGGCACUCGGGAGCUCUUGGAUCCAGAUGCCAUGGAGGGCCCUGCCUGCAGGCUUGAGCCCCUUGAGGGUUGGGAACGUCCAGCAGGGUUUAUCUCCUGGUGGGAUUCACUGCAGAAGGGAAGGCAAGGCCUAAGACUACACUGGCUAUCCAUGCUCCCUCUGGUUGGUAGGAAAGGACAAGUCCCCUCAUCCCAGUGUCUCCCAAGCCCUCAAAUCAGCAGAUUCUGAGCCAGUUUCUAUAAGAGAAAGGAAGUUCUUGUCUCAGGUCUCACAGCAGGGAUCAUGUUCAGCAGUGUCCCCUCUGCCUGUGUCACUACUCCGCAGGUCAGGAGCUGCCUCUGAGUCCCUGCUCCCUGGAGGGACCUCGCAGAAGGGAAGGAUGAAGGCAGGGUCUGAGCCUGGGAAAGGAGCUGGAGGUGGGGAAAGGAAGGAGAGACUGACGCGGAGGGACAGACUCCUCUGCCGCCGGAGCUGUGCUCAAACGAGAGUGUGAUCUGCUGCAGGGUGAGCUGGAGCUGGAGGAUCAGGGUCCAGCCUGCCUUCCAAAAUAAGCACACGCUGAUGGGUGUUCCAGCUGCUGGGGCAGGGCUGGGGCUGACAGUGCAUGGAUAGACCCUGUCCAGCUCCAUCCCGCAGCCCUGGGGACGGGAGGCAGCGGCCCAGCGUCAGAGGCACGUUUGCAAGAGCACGUUUAGUCUUUGAAGAAACUGAAGACUUUAAAGGCUGUUAAAUUUCGGGGCUGAUCAAAACAGCAACACUGUCUUUGCCUGGAGCAGCCGGAGCCCCGCACCCUGCCUGCCUCCCCCAUGCUCCUACACUGGGGCCCUGCUCUGGGCCACCCACCUUCCUUGGGACGUGUCAGGUGGGCAAGGACUCUCCUUCCCAGAAGGAGAAUUGUGAGAGCACCUCUUUUCCCUCCUUGUCCCCGAGACUCAGGGGAUGAACCCACCUUCCCCCUUAUGCAGGCCAAGAGGAGGGGAGGGCCAUAGAGGGUUACCUGUGAUCUGGGAGCAGUUCUCACUCGAGGCACAGGGCCGAGAAGGAACCCAACUUGCUCAUUUUGGGUGAUGAGGAUGAAGGGGCACAGGAAAGUCUCAGUCCCCUGCUGUGGGAUGGAGAGACCCUCUCCUCCCUAGGAGGGGUGGAUGCCAGCUCUCCCUGCCCUCUGCAGCGGGCAGGUCGGAUGGUUUAUUUUACAAAUCAAACACCAGGGAGGGUUGUCCCACACCCUGAUAAUCUCCCUAGAGGUGCCUUUUGCAUGCAUUGAAUCCCCAUUUCUCCUCCUUACACCUUUCUGUGCUGUCUUUAGCAACCCCCACCCAGCUGGGGAUCACCUCCCUGUCACGUCCAUCCACAGGCUGUUAUCACAUCCACCCCACCUUCCAGUGCAUAUUUACCCCAAGGAUCACCUGUCCCACCCAAAACCUUCCUCAGCCCUUUUCCUCUGUCAUUAUCUCGCUUUGGCAGUCAGAAGCAGGCAGGUUUCUCACGUCCCCAAGUGCCUGGCCAGGGAUGAGGCAGAAAACUGUCAGCUUUGGGGAACCUGGAUUUCUCCCAAGUGAGCAGCUUGGAAAUUGGGAUGGGGCUACUCUGGCGUCACUUCCUUGCCCUCCAGCCAAGGGGAAGCCCUCCCUGCUUGCAGCAGCCUCCUGCUCAGCCUCCAUCCCCUAUCCAUGGAAUGGCAGUGGCAGGCCAGGCAGGAUGGCUUUUCUUGAUCGUUCCAGAGUUACAUUUCUCCAGCUGGAUUACUCGCAAUCAUUAAACCUCGUGUUUAAAUCUCC